rfam:Freshwater sediment metagenome lwMethane_C1654, whole genome shotgun sequence.
AAAGUUUCAUACGUUGAAGGCUUAGCCAGCUACGGCGGCCCCGAGUCAUGCGUGCACAUUCGUGAGGGUGUGGGCGAAGCGUUGACAGGGGGACGCGCGGGCCGGGUAUUGAGCUGCGCAAUCCAUGCCCUGGGCCGAGAGGCUCGGGACGAUCGGGGUGCCGAGGCAGUGGAGAUAUGCCGAAGGCCACACCGUGCCUGCCGCAUUGGCGAGGCAGGCAUGGACCCCGCGCAGUCACAGACCC